UACGAAGGGGGCUAGCGUUGCUCGGAAUGACUGGGCGUAAAGGGCGCGUAGGCGGAUGGCACAGUCAGAUGUGAAAUUCCCGGGCUUAACCUGGGGGCUGCAUUUGAUACGUGUUGUCUUGAGUUCGGAAGAGGGUCGUGGAAUUCCCAGUGUGGAGGUGAAAUUCGUAGAUAUUGGGAAGAACACCGGUGGCGAAGGCGGCGACCUGGUCCGACACUGACGCUGAGGCGCGAAAGCGUGGGGAGCAAACAGG
rnacentral:rRNA from 1 species